CGUGUAGGUGGGUUACAAAGUCUUAAGUAUAAAUGCGAUGCUUAACGUCGUAUUGCUUGAGAAACUUGUAGUCUUGAGUUAAGGAGAGGAAAGCGGAAUUCCCAGUGUAGCGGUGAAAUGCGUAGAGAUUGGGAAGAACACCAGUGGCGAAGGCGGCUUUCUGGACUUAAACUGACACUGAGGCGCGAAAGCUAGGGGAGCGAACGGGAUUAGAUACCCCGGUAGUCCUAGCCGUAAACGAUGGGUACUAGGUGUGGGAGGUAUCGACCCCUUCUGUGCCGGAGUUAACGCAAUAAGUACCCCGCCUGGGGAGUACGGCCGCAAGGUUGAA
rnacentral:rRNA from 1 species